AGGCAGCAGUGGGGAAUAUUGCACAAUGGGGGAAACCCUGAUGCAGCGACGCCGCGUGAAGGAAGAAGUAUCUCGGUAUGUAAACUUCUAUCAGCAGGGAAGACAAUGACGGUACCUGACUAAGAAGCCCCGGCUAACUACGUGCC
rnacentral:rRNA from 1 species